rnacentral:rRNA from 1 species
CUAGAGGAGCCUGUUCUAUAAUCGAUAAACCCCGAUAAACCCCACCAUCCCUUGCUAAUUCAGCCUAUAUACCGCCAUCUUCAGCGAACCCUAAACAAGGUACCAAAGUAAGCACAAUCAUCCAACAUAAAAACGUUAGGUCAAGGUGUAGCCCAUGGGAUGGAGAGAAAUGGGCUACAUUUUCUACUCUAAGAACAAGAACUUAACCCAAACGGAAGUCUCCAUGAAAUUAGAGACCGAAGGAGGAUUUAGUAGUAAAUUAAGAAUAGAGAGCUUAAUUGAAUCAGGCCAUGAAGCGCGCACACACCGCCCGUCACCCUCCUUAAAUAUUACAAGUCACAAUAUUACACAAAACCGUGACCCAAACAUAUGAAAGGAGACAAGUCGUAACAAGGUAAGCGAUACUGGA